GACGAACGCUGGCGGCGUGCUUAACACAUGCAGGUCGAGCGGUAAGGCCCUUUCGGGGGUACACGAGCGGCGAACGGGUGAGUAACACGUGGGUGACCUGCCCUCAGCUCUGGGAUAAGCCUGGGAAACCGGGUCUAAUACUGGAUAUGACUCCAUGACGCAUGUUGUGGGGUGGAAAGCCUUGUGCGGCUGAGGAUGGGCCCGCGGCCUAUCAGCUUGUUGGUGGGGUGANGGCCUACCAAGGCGACGACGGGUAGCCGGCCUGAGAGGGCGACCGGCCACACUGGGACUGAGACACGGCCCAGACUCCUACGGGAGGCAGCAGUGGGGAAUCUUGCGCAAAUGGGCGAAAAGCCUGACGCAGCGACGCCGCGUGAGGGAUGACGGCCU
rnacentral:rRNA from 1 species